UCUCGUUCCUGUUGCAGCUG
rnacentral:misc_RNA from 1 species